UUGGUUAGUGGCAGACGGGUGAGUAAUGCAUAGGAAUCUACCUAGUAGUCUGGGAUAGCCACUGGAAAUGGUGGGUAAUACCGUAUAAUCCCCGCGGGGGAAAGAUUUAUCGCUAUUAGAUGAGCCUAUGUCGGAUUAGCUAGUUGGUGGGGUAAUGGCCUACCAAGGCAGUGAUCUGUAGCUGGUCUGAGAGGAUGAUCAGCCACACUGGAACUGAGACACGGUCCAGACUCCUACGGGAGGCAGCAGUGGGGAAUAUUGGACAAUGGGCGCAAGCCUGAUCCAGCUAUGCCGCGUGAGUGAGGAAGGCCUUAGGGUUGUAAAACUCUUUCAGUAGGGAAGAUAAUGACGGUACCUA
rnacentral:rRNA from 1 species